AGAGUUUGAUCAUGGCUCAGAUUGAACGCUGGCGGCAGGCCUAACACAUGCAAGUCGAACGGUAACAGGAAGCAGCUUGCUGCUUCGCUGACGAGUGGCGGACGGGUGAGUAAUGUCUGGGAAACUGCCUGAUGGAGGGGGAUAACUACUGGAAACGGUAGCUAAUACCGCAUAAUGUCGCAAGACCAAAGAGGGGGACCUUCGGGCCUCUUGCCAUCGGAUGUGCCCAGAUGGGAUUAGCUUGUUGGUGGGGUAACGGCUCACCAAGGCGACGAUCCCUAGCUGGUCUGAGAGGAUGACCAGCCACACUGGAACUGAGACACGGUCCAGACUCCUACGGGAGGCAGCAGUGGGGAAUAUUGCACAAUGGGCGCAAGCCUGAUGCAGCCAUGCCGCGUGUAUGAAGAAGGCCUUCGGGUUGUAAAGUACUUUCAGCGGGGAGGAAGGGAGUAAAGUUAAUACCUUUGCUCAUUGACGUUAUCCGCAGAAGAAGCACCGGCUAACUCCGUGCCAGCAGCCGCGGUAAUACGGAGGGUGCAAGCGUUAAUCGGAAUUACUGGGCGUAAAGCGCACGCAGGCGGUUUGUUAAGUCAGAUGUGAAAUCCCCGGGCUCAACCUGGGAACUGCAUCUGAUACUGGCAAGCUUGAGUCUCGUAGAGGGGGGUAGAAUUCCAGGUGUAGCGGUGAAAUGCGUAGAGAUCUGGAGGAAUACCAGUGGCGAAGGCGGCCCCCUGGACGAAGACUGACGCUCAGGUGCGAAAGCGUGGGGAGCAAACAGGAUUAGAUACCCUGGUAGUCCACGCCGUAAACGAUGUCGACUUGGAGGUUGUGCCCUUGAGGCGUGGCUUCCGGAGCUAACGCGUUAAGUCGACCGCCUGGGGAGUACGGCCGCAAGGUUAAAACUCAAAUGAAUUGACGGGGGCCCGCACAAGCGGUGGAGCAUGUGGUUUAAUUCGAUGCAACGCGAAGAACCUUACCUGGUCUUGACAUCCACGGAAGUUUUCAGAGAUGAGAAUGUGCCUUCGGGAACCGUGAGACAGGUGCUGCAUGGCUGUCGUCAGCUCGUGUUGUGAAAUGUUGGGUUAAGUCCCGCAACGAGCGCAACCCUUAUCCUUUGUUGCCAGCGGUCCGGCCGGGAACUCAAAGGAGACUGCCAGUGAUAAACUGGAGGAAGGUGGGGAUGACGUCAAGUCAUCAUGGCCCUUACGACCAGGGCUACACACGUGCUACAAUGGCGCAUACAAAGAGAAGCGACAUCGCGAGAGCAAGCGGACCUCAUAAAGUGCGUCGUAGUCCGGAUUGGAGUCUGCAACUCGACUCCAUGAAGUCGGAAUCGCUAGUAAUCGUGGAUCAGAAUGCCACGGUGAAUACGUUCCCGGGCCUUGUACACACCGCCCGUCACACCAUGGGAGUGGGUUGCAAAAGAAGUAGGUAGCUUAACCUUCGGGAGGGCGCUUACCACUUUGUGAUUCAUGACUGGGGUGAAGUCGUAACAAGGUAACCGUAGGGGAACCUGCGGUUG
rnacentral:rRNA from 1 species